GGCCAAAAAUAAAAUAUUGUUUGUUUCCCCUCACACGACCGACCCGGUAAAAUCAACGCGACCCGAAAAAUUUUAUUGGCCAUUCUUGUCCACUAUUUUUUUUUUUUUUGCUAUGUUGGUUAUUAGUGAUAUCUUUCCAAUGCUGUAGUCAACGAUCAUUGGGUUUUGGUGAUACCUUUCCGAUGCUGUAGUCAACGAGCGUUUUAAAUCAAGGUAUUUUUGCAUCUACAUGAAUCUACAUGAUUCGGAAUCAAGGAAAACAAACAAAAUGCUUUCCACACGAUUUGUU
rnacentral:lncRNA from 1 species